AAUAUUAAUUUAUCUCUCAGUCCUUUUCCCUCGCUCCGCCCGAUAGGGUUCAAAGUAUAACGCACCCAGCCCUCGGCUCGACCCCUUAAACCCUGUGAUCUCGACCUGUGAUCUCGUUCAUCCAAGUCUGUCCAUAUGUAAUGAUGGACUAGGCACUGGUGCAGAUCAAAUCACGGGGAAUACUAACAAUGGGCAAGCAAGCAAAGAGAUAUCAAGAUUGCAAGGGAACAGAAAACCGAGGAGAUUAAAGGAUCUUUUGUUAAUUGAACAGAAAGCAGUCACAUGCGAUAGUUACGGCACGGUUGGCGAUGCGACAUCUUGUCCGAAAAUGACCGCGAUGGCAAGAUAAGCUGGAAACAGUCCCAACCUGAUUUAGAAUUUUGCUUGGUUCAUUUUUGAACGAGGUAGUAUCAAGAACUUAAGAAUUAACUGAAUAAAUGACCAGAAACAUUUCUGGAGGAAUUCAUAAGGCUUUGUUCCUCUGCCUCAUUCUGCAUCCAAUGGCAUUGUGUUUCCUUGCAGCUUUCCUGUGCAAGACUUGCACCCAGCUGUAACCAAUCACCCAGCUGUGCGUUGCCAAGCUUUUUUUUUUCUCUAAUAUGGCUUUUUUUUCAGCAGUAUCUUGUUCCUGCUGUACAUGUGUGUUUAAUCUGUCCUUCAUUACACAGUGAAAACUAGAAUGAACUCAUGAUAAAAACUAGCAGAGAAUGAUGGUGUAUUUGGGAAAUAUUGAGGGAGCACUAAUACCUUUCCUCGGCAAGGCCAGCAGCUUAGUCAAGCCGAGUUGCACCCUGGCCACUCCCUCUUUUCCCCUCUCCCAUCAGGCAAAAUGUGUGGGAGUGUGAAAACGCACACCUCCAGAAUCAGGAACAUUUUCUUCCCAGCUGUUAUAAGGCAACUGAAUCACCCUACCACAACCAGAGAGCAGUGCUGAACUUCUAUCUACCUUUUUGGUGACCCUCGGACUAUCCUUGAUCAGACUUUGCUGGCUUUACCUUGCACUAAACAUUAUUCCCUUAUCAUGUAAAUGGCCCAAUUGUAAUCAUAUUGUUUUUCUGCUGACAGGAUACCACCCAAAAAAAACUGUACCGCAGUACACGUAACGAUAAUAUACUAAACUAAAUUAAAAAAGGAAGGUGUAGGUCCUGUUCGAGUGCAAUACAAGGCUGAACCAUGCAUUCAUUUUAAGCUCAUGAUAGUGUGAUCAUGGUACUUCUGCUUGGAUCGAUGAAUAAACUCAGGGCAGUAUAUGAAUUAUUCACAUGAGUUACUUUAAGUGAUUUGUGCUAGGUUUUAAUAAAGUAAUGGUCUCUUUGGUAAAUUGUGUAGUGUUCAUUGAGAUGUUGAUGAGGUUUGGGAUAGUUUUUCAGGGUUGUCUCCUGCAUUUCUUCAGGGCUUAAAUCAGUAACUGAGAUCUGACAUGGCGCAGAUUCAACUUUUUGCAAAAUGAGAAAAUAACAUGUCAAAUCAUAAGCUGAUGUUCACUGUCUGCGUUUGCUUGAAGAUAACAUGAUUAUUUGACAAAAAUAUUUAAAUAGUAAUACUGGGGCUAGUGAUACGAACACUUUUUUUGUUCAAUGGGCAAAGAUGAUCUUAUUCCUCAGCUACAGACGUGGCUGUUUAGUCUCUGUCAGUACGUUCUUUUUAGAAUAGAAGAGUACACUGUAAGCCUGAAGGUUUCCACACUGCGUAUUUUCAGAGAUAUGGUCUGUGGAAUGUGAUGUGGUUAGGAGUAGAUCAUUCUGUACUUGUGGUGGAGAGGGUCCAGAGGAGGUUUACGAGAAUGAGUGGGUUAACAUGGGUGGAGCAUUUGACGGUGCUGGGCCUCUACUCGCUGGAGUUAAGAAGGAUGAUCGGUUGACCUAAUUGAUACUUAUUGAAUAGUGAAAGGUCUGGAUCGAGUGGAUGGGAGAAGUUAAACAAAAGACAAUAGACAAUAGGUGCAGGAGUAGGUCUUUUGGCCCUUCGAGGCAACACCACCAUUCAAUGUGAUCAUGGCUGAUUUUCCACGUGGGAGAGUCUAGUACCAGAGGGCACAACCUCAAAAUUAAAGGAUGUUCCUUUUGGAAGGAGAUGAGGAGGAAUUUCUUUAGUCAGAGUGUGGUGAAUCUGUGGAAUUCAUUGCCACAGAAAGCUGUGGAGGCCAAGUCAAUGGAUAUUUUUAAGGCAGAGAUAGUUAGAUUCUUGAAUAGUACGGGUGUCAGGGGUUAUGGGAAGAAGGCAGGAGAAUGUGCUUAAGAAGGAAAGAUAGAACAGCCAUGAUUGAAUGACAGUAGACUUGAUAGGCCGAAUGACAAUCCUGCUCCUAUCACUUAUGAGCGCUUAUUGUAGCAACAAAAGCCCAUCCUCGUAGUGGUCUGAAUAUGCAGGGCCCUUCUUUAGAGAACCUGUACACAG